UUUUACAUUAAAAAGAAGGAAGAGAAAGCAAGCAAGCAAGCAAGAAGGGUGGUAAUGAGAAGCUGAGAGCAGUGUGCCAACUCGCAAUGCCAUCUUCGCUGACAUGUAAAAAUAGUUGUGUUUUAACAAGUGUGCUUUGCUUAAAUGAAAUAGGUGGAUUUCUAGAAAUGAAAUUGCUGCAGCAAAAGGACUGCAUAAUGUAAACACUCUUGAGACAGAUGACCAAUUUGUUUCCUGCAGUUUGUUCGCAUUUACACACUUCUAACAAUAUGGAGAUGUAUGUCUCACUGAAAUCAUGAUGACAACAGAGUUUUUUGCUUCUGUCUGCCAAUUUUUCCUUUGGGGCACUCAUCAUUUUGAUUACUUAAAUAUGCAUCUUAUGGUAGAAACUGGAACCACUGUCUUGAAUCAAAAGAUGGAAGAAGCUUCUCUUGAAGAUUAAAGGGACACAAGACAGAAGUUGUCUGUGUCCCUGAGGGCUUAGCAGAGGAGACUUGACCUACUUUCUUGGGCUUGUUGUGACAUCUAUUUUGUUUAAGUGGGAGAGACAAAGACAAGAUAACAAGCAAAUUAAUAAUUGCAUCUUUGGUAACUUUUCUGAAGAAAAUAAACAUUAGACUCGGUCAGAGAAUAAUGGUGAAAAGGUUGCCCUGGAAAAAGUGAUAAGGAACAGCCUUUUUGGGAUGGUGAAUAUGAAGAGUAUGAAUUACAAUGUUCCUGAAAAGCCACUUUCCUGAGAAGAACUGCAACAGAUUUUCAUGAUAUCAAGAAGGCUUUAUGUUCCUGUAAGAAAGUUUGGCUGUAAGUUCCUAUCAAGAUUCUACAAGAACAUAUUGAUGCUCUGAAAGAUAACCCCAGAAGAGUAUGAGGAGACAUACACAGUCUACACAGAUGGGGUUUCACCGUGUCAGCCAGGAUGGUCCCGAUCUCCUGACCUCGUGAUCUGCCCGCCUCGGCCUCUCAAAGUGCUGGGAUUACAGGCGUGAGCCACCGCGCCUGGACGUUGCCGCCAUAUAUAAAGGAGUGCAAGAGUCCAUAAAACUUACUCCCUCUGCUCUUGAAGGUGAACAGCACACUUUAGUAGCAAAAGAAAAUUGGUAGUGAAAGCAAAACAAGGAAAGAAAUCUCUCUGGGCCCUGCUUCUGUUUCUCAAAAGAUUGCCUGUUUUACUUCUCACCAUUGAUUUAUGUUGCCAAAACAAAGAGCACUGCACUUGGAACAGAAGACCCCCAAGACCCAUGCCUGAAUCAUCUGUGUUCUCCAUAGCCUCUGCCAAGCCAGGUCUGAACUAGGACAAGGGCUCAGGUUUUCUCCAAAUUCUCCAAAUUAUUAUCUGAUAUUGAACUGAUUUUAUUAAGAAGAGUGAAGUGAUAGUUCAACUCUACUCAGACAGAAGACAUGUACUUCCAAGAAGACGGAGUUUGCAAAGAUCACAUUAGCACAUAUUCUGUCCAUAGAUUUUCUACUGUGAUUUAGUUGGAUAAGCUUAUGCUACACAUUAGUGUAAUAAGACUAAAAUUAUUGAUUUGUAUGAAAUGUAAAUUAAGUUUUAAAUCUUUAUCAUUGGAAAUGGGUGGUUUAUAUUUUUGUUUUUUUCUUAGUUCAGGACCACUUGAAUCCCCCCAGGAAUCCACUGCAAUUGUUAUAUUCCAUUGUCAGUGAGUGAGAAAGAAAAGAAGGAGGAUGGGUAAGAAAGGGCUUGGAGAGUCUGGGAGCCUAUGUGAGUCUGUGUGCAAAGCAUAUUAACUCUGACUCUGCCCAAAGCUUACAGAGAAGAUAUUCAGCUACCUGAGGAGGUCCGUAUUUUAUAGCCUUUGUUUAAUAUAUGGGAAAAUGGGAGUCAAGGAAAAUUAGAGUCCUUGCCUUGGUAAUACAUCCAGGACACAGGAAAAUUGGAAUUGGAACACCUGCCUGUGACACCAGUGCAUGCUUUUAACAACGACCUUGAUAACUUCUCACUUUUACUCCCUUCCUUGUUUACCCAGUCUGUCCACCUGGAAAUGCUAGUUCAUUAAGACUCAGAUCAAAGGUCAUUUCCCAUCAGAAUGUUUCUCUGACUAUUCCAGACACAGUCUAAUGCAUCAUCCUUUUCUGAUCUGUAGAGAACAUUAAAAGGUUGUUUAAUUUUAAGCUUUUAUAUAGCUGAGAGAGUUAUUUGAUGGCAAAAAGUUCUUCAUGAACUGGUAAGUACAGGAUUACCUAUGAUGUGCAAUUUAUAACUAGAAUGAGAAUAGCUAAACACUCCUUAACAAAGAACUUUGAACACCUUUAAUGAUUUCGACGGAUUUGCAGGCAUCAAAAUGGAUGUAGUAACACAAUGAAUGUCCAGAUAGGUAGUUUUGAUUUCUGAAAUUGCUCAUUGUUCUGACUCUAUUGAGAAUUCCCCAAUUUACACAUCACUUUACUCAAUUUGCUUCUCUCUCAAUGUGCUGACUCUAAUAGCAGUGCCACUUCUCCCUGCCUUCCCCAUCCAAACCUCUCUCCCAGAGAUAGCUGCUUUCCUAAGAAAAUUGUUUUCAGCAUAUUCUUUUCUGCGUAUUCUACCCCAAUAACGCACAAAAAACAACAUAUUGUAGUUGUAGUAACUACAUCUACCAGUAAAAUUUCAAGAUUGGAAGUAUAAACCAAUUAAUGUAAUUAACUUAUUAGGCAACCUAAGGCUAUUAGGAAAUCACUUUGCUCACCAUUGAAAUGGUGUCAUUGGGAUGGUUUCCUGUGAUGGGCAGCACUGAGCACCUUGGUGAGUAUGCCUGGCUCUAAGAUCAAUUUAACACAGAA
rnacentral:lncRNA from 1 species